rnacentral:rRNA from 1 species
CAGCCGCCGCGGUAAUACGUAGGGUGCAAGCGUUAAUCGGAAUUACUGGGCGUAAAGCGUGCGCAGGCGGUUCGCUAAGACAGAUGUGAAAUCCCCGGGCUUAAACUGGGAACUGCAUUUGUGACUGGCGGGCUAGAGUAUGGCAGAGGGGGGUAGAAUUCCACGUGUAGCAGUGAAAUGCGUAGAUAUGUGGAGGAAUACCGAUGGCGAAGGCAGCCCCCUGGGAUAACACUGACGCUCAUGCACGAAAGCUAGGGGAGCAAAUGGGAUUAGAUACCCGCGUAGUCCCUGUCUCUUAUAA